rnacentral:rRNA from 1 species
CGGUGCGCCUUAUGCAUGCAAGUCGAGCGAAGCUUUUCAGUAGUUUACUACAGAAAAUGACUGAGCGGCGAACGGGUGAGUAACGCGUGAGCAAUCUACCUUAGUUACAGGGAUAGCCCGAGGAAACUCGGAUUAAUACCUGAUAUUCUUUAAAUUUCGCAUGAAAUUAAAAGGAAAGGUCAGCCGAACUAAGAUGAGCUCGCGUUCUAUCAGCUAGUUGGUGAGGUAAAAGCUCACCAAGGCUACGACGGAUAGCUGGUCUGAGAGGACGAUCAGCCACACUGGGACUGAGACACGGCCCAGACUCCUACGGGAGGCUGCAGCAGGGAAUAUUGUGCAAUGAACGAAAGUUUGACACAGCGACACCGCGUGUGGGAUGACGGAUCUAGGUUUGUAAACCACUUUCAGGAGGGAAGAAAAUGACGGUACCUCCACAAGAAGCCCCGGC